rnacentral:rRNA from 1 species
GACGAACGCUGGCGGCGUGCUUAACACAUGCAAGUCGAACGGAAAGGCCCUGCUUUUGUGGGGUGCUCGAGUGGCGAACGGGUGAGUAACACGUGAGCAACCUGCCCUUGACUUUGGGAUAACUUCAGGAAACUGGGGCUAAUACCGGAUAGGAGCUCCUGCUGCAUGGUGGGGGUUGGAAAGUUUCGGCGGUUGGGGAUGGACUCGCGGCUUAUCAGCUUGUUGGUGGGGUAGUGGCUUACCAAGGCUUUGACGGGUAGCCGGCCUGAGAGGGUGACCGGCCACAUUGGGACUGAGAUACGGCCCAGACUCCUACGGGAGGCAGCAGUGGGGAAUAUUGCACAAUGGGCGGAAGCCUGAUGCAGCAACGCCGCGUGCGGGAUGACGGCCUUCGGGUUGUAAACCGCUUUCGCCUGUGGCGAAGCGUGAGUGACGGUAAUGGGUAAAGAAGCACCGGCUAACUACGUG